rnacentral:rRNA from 1 species
GCCCUGCUCCACACUACUGUCUGUCAUAGUUCCUGUCUUAUCUCCUGUUAGUUAUUACUCCACAUGUCUACAUAGCAUACACACUCUCUCCUUAUUACUCCACAUGCUAUUAGUUGUACUCCUGUUAGUACUUCCCGUAGCUCUGUUCCUGGUAUCAUAGACUACACCACGCACAGGAUGUGAUAUGCACAUGCUAUCUACAUGCGUACCGUGCCCCACAUGGAUGUGAUGCUUUCCAUUAUUGUAUUACAUGGCUUCAUGUAUUAUGCCCACUAUUUAUUACUCUCCACAUCACAGGGUCUAAGUACCCACUCUCUGUACCAACAGCUGUGCUCCACCUGUGCCUGUUCUACGUACCCAUGUGUAGCUAUCCUGUUUGGCAUUGUUCCAUGGACUCACCACAUGUACUUACUAUGAGUAUACUGCUUCAUGGCAUCUCCCAUAUUCCUAGGUACUGCUAUUAUGUGUAUCAUGUAUCGGUAGUACGUAGCGGAAUCCCUGUGGCUGAGUACCACAUGUAUUAACCAUUGUUAUGCUCAUUUUUUUUUUUUUUUUUUUUUUUUUUUACUAGAUAUCAUUACUGUACCAUCCACUACUCAGUCCCAGAGACCUAUCUGUUAUACUAUCCGUACAUUGUUGUGUAGGCUUCGCUUCUGUACAUGCACGGGGAUAUAUUCCCUGGACUAUCUCUAUGCACUACGGUACCUCUGGGCUAAUAGGCUGCUGUAUAGGGACGACUUCUGCGUCGUCUCUUACGGGUGCACAUUACACAUGAUGCUGUAGACGAUGUCACCGUCCCUCAUGUCCUCGUUGAUGGGUUGUCCACGUAGAUAUACAGUGGUUCCACUCUGGUGGGAGAUAGCUACACACUGCAUACUAGAUACUACGAGAGGACUAUCCUACAGAGCAUUCCCCGGAAAAAAAAAAAAAAAAAAAAAAAA